GUCCCCAUCGUCUAGAGGCCUAGGACACCGCCCUUUCACGGCGGUAACAGGGGUUCGAAUCCCCUAGGGGACGCCA
rnacentral:tRNA from 1 species